rnacentral:rRNA from 1 species
AUUGAACGCUGGCGGCAGGCCUAAAACAUGCAAGUCGAGCGAGCGGCGGACGGGUGAGUAAUGUCUGGGAAACUGCCUGAUGGAGGGGGAUAACUACUGGAAACGGUAGCUCAUACCGCAUACCAUCAGAUGUGCCCAGAUGGGAUUAGCUAGUAGGUGGGGUAAUGGCGCAACUAUGCGACGACCCCUAGCUGGUCUGAGAGGUUGACCAGCCACAGGGUAACGAAGACACGGUACAUAAUCAUACGGGAGGCAGCAGUGGGGAUUAUUGCGCAAUGGGCGAAAGCCCUAUGCAGCCAUGCCGGUUGUGUGAAGAAGGCCUUCGGGUUGUAAAGCACUUUCAGCGGGGAUGCGUUACCCGCAGAAGAAGCACCGGCUAACUCCGUGCCAGCAGCCGCGGUAAUUC